rnacentral:rRNA from 1 species
GGGCGCAAUGGGGAAUGCCUAAGGCUCUCACGCGGGCGAGGAAGGACGCGGAUUAACCCGAAAUUGUAGGGAGCGGCAACAUACGUGUAGAUCCUACAGUGUCCGAAUGGGGCAACCCAAUACACUGCGGUAAAAAAACAAUGAAAAGUGGAGGCAAACGGGGGGACUGGAAAAUCUAAGUAAAAAAAAGGAAGAGAAAACCAACAUGAUUCGUAAGUAGUGGCGAGCGAACACGGAGAAGCCCAAACCUGAAGGCGUUACGGCGCAUUAGGUUAAUUAGGACUACUAUUAGAAACUCUGAAAGCUGAUUGUCUGGGAAGGCAACUUCGCGAAGAGGUGAAAGACCGUAAAGCGAACAAAGUGGGGACGUAGUAGAAUCCUGAGUAGUGGGGACCGAGGAUCCCUCUGAAAAUGGGCGGCACCAUCCGACAAGGCUAAAAUACGACUGAGAGAAGAUAGUGAACGGUAAAGGAGGGAAAGGUGAAUAAGUACCGGGAGAUAACGGGGUGAAAUAUAGGAAACCUGAAACCAUCGCUUCACCAGCGGGCGAGCCCUUAGGUGACGCCGGCCUUAUUGCAUAAUGUAAGCACGAGUUUGUUUUAUUAGCGAGGUUAAGUUUUUAAAGGGUAGGGAGCCGAAGCGAAAGGCGCAGUCUGAAUAGGGGCGAUUAGUUAAAAUGUAGAGGCAGACGCGCAAACUUUGUGAUCUCACCCGUGGUUUUUUUUGUCAAGGUUGAAGUGUGGGUAACACUACAUGGAGGACGAACAGUAAAACGUUGAAAAAGUUUUUGGAUUUUUUUGCGGGUAGGGUGAAAGGCAAUCAAACUGAAAGAAAAUAGCUCCGUAUACCGGAAAAUGUUUUUUUUAAGGAACAGCGUUGUGGGGGCGUUUGUGUCAGGUAGAGCUACCGAUAGGAUGCGGGGAGUCAAAUUCUACAAAUUCUGACGAACUCCGAAUGGGCAUAAAUAGACUACAUGCAGAUGAGGCCGGGGUGCUAAGGUCACGGUCCGAGAGGGGAACAACCCAGAGCAACCGCUAAGGUCUAAGUAUGAUACUAAGUGAGACGAAAGGAAGUCUGACUGCCGAGACAGCCAAGGAUGGUUAGCCUUUUGGAGCAGCCUACAUUUAAAAAGUAGUGCGUAACAGCUCACUGGUCGAUGCGGCGGGGCGCGAUAAAACGGGCAUCAAAAAGUAUCUCACCGAGCCGAUGCGAUAGUAAUAUCGGUAGGGGAGCAUUCCAUUUGCAGGCGAGUUGUGGCGUGAGCAUGGUGGAUGGGAUGGAAAAGCAAAUGUAGGCAUAAGUAACGAUAUGUAUGUGAGACCCAUAUCAACCCGUAAGAAGCUAAGGAUCCUCAGCUAAUGUCAAUCAACUGAGGGUUAGUCGUGGGCCUAAGGGGAAGGCGAAGGCCGCACUGAACGGAUCAGCAGGUUAAUAUUCCUGCAACCUGAAUGCAAGUGUGAAGCGCACGGGGUAGGGGCGUAUACGAAGUGACGGAAAGUCUUCGUUGAGCGGGCGUUUACGGACAAAGCGAAUAUUUGAACUGGCCUCCAAGAAAAAACCGCUGAAACAUCAGGCUUUGCAUGAGCCGUACCGUAAACCGACACAGGUAGCUGGGUAGAAUAUACCAAGGUGCUCAAGUGAAUCACGGUUAAGGAACUAGGCAAAUUAACCUGUAACUUCGGGAGAAAGGGAGCCGGAAAAAUGUGGUCGCAGAGAAAUGGCCCAGGCGACUGUUUAACAAAAACACAGGGCUAUGCGAAGAUUAAUGUCGACGUAUAUUGGCCUGACACCUGCCCGGUGCUGGAAGGUUAAGAGGGGAUGUUAUCGCAAGAGAAGCAUUGAAUCGAAGCCCCAGUAAACGGCGGCCGUAACUAUAACGGUCCUAAGGUAGCGAAAUUCCUUGUCGGGUAAGUUCCGACCUGCACGAAUGGUGUAACGAUCUGGGCACUGUCUCAGCCGUGAGCUCGGCGAAAUUGUAGUGACGGUGAAGAUGCCGUCUUACCCGCCACGGGACGGAAAGACCCCGUGAACCUUUACUAUAGCUUAGCGUUGUGACUGGAUAUCAGAUGUGUAGGAUAGGUGGGAGGCAUUGGGUGGCGUCGCCAGGCGUCAUUUAGCCAACGUUGAAAUACCACCCUUUUGAUAUUUGGUUCCUAAGGAUGGGGGACACCGCUGGUGGGUAGUUUGACUGGGGUGGUCGCCUCCAAAAGAGUAACGGAGGCUUUCAAAGGUUCCCUCAGCACGCUUGGUAACGUGCGUGAGUGCAAUAGCAAAGGGAGCUUGACUGCGAGACAAACAAGUCGAACAGGUACGAAAGUAGGAUAUAGUGAUCCGGUGGUUCUGCAUGGAAGGGCCAUCGCUCAAAGGAUAAAAGGUACUCCGGGGAUAACAGGCUGAUCUCCCCCAAGAGCUCAUAUCGACGGGGAGGUUUGGCACCUCGAUGUCGGCUCGUCACAUCCUGGGUGGAGAAGGUCCAAGGUUCGGCUGUUCGCCGAUUAAAGUGCGCGAGCUGGGUUCAGAACGUCGUGAGACAGUUCGGUCCCUAUCUGUGAUGGGCGUAGGAAGUUGACGGCUGACCUUGUACGAUGCGGGAUAGCUGCGACUCCACCGACGACUGGUGGGCAACUCGAGCGCUAUGAGUAAUGAAGAUGACGAGGCCGUAGCGCACUGGCCGAGUAGCUACGUGGGCAACAGAUAAGCGCUGAAGGAUCUGACUGACUGACAAAAAAAAAAAUGGAGAAUUGA